rnacentral:rRNA from 1 species
GACGAACGCUGGCGGCGUGCUUAACACAUGCAAGUCGAACGGAAAGGCCCUGCUUGCAGGGUACUCGAGUGGCGAACGGGUGAGUAACACGUGGGUGAUCUGCCCUGCACUUCGGGAUAAGCCUGGGAAACUGGGUCUAAUACCGGAUAGGAGCCAUUUUUAGUGUGAUGGUUGGAAAGUUUUUUCGGUGUAGGAUGAGCUCGCGGCCUUCAGCUUGUUGGUGGGGUAAUGGCCUACCAAGGCGGCGACGGGUAGCCGGCCUGAGAGGGUGGACGGCCACAUUGGGACUGAGAUACGGCCCAGACUCCUACGGGAGGCAGCAGUGGGGAAUAUUGCACAAUGGGCGCAAGCCUGAUGCAGCGACGCCGCGUGGGGGAUGACGGCCUUCGGGUUGUAAACUCCUUUCGCUAGGGACGAAGCUUUUUGUGACGGUACCUAGAUAAGAAGCACCGGCUAACUACGUG